CCCCUAGAUGUUCUGGGCCGCACGCGCGCUACACUGACUGGUUCAACGAGUUGCAUUUGUUCCUUCGCUUCGAAAGGCGUGGGUAAUCUGUGAACGCCAGUCGUGAUGGGGAUAGAUUCUUGGAAUUAAAAUCUUCAACGAGGAAUUCCUAGUAAACGCAAGUCAUCAACUUGCAUUGAUUACGUCCCUGCCCUUUGUACACACCGCCCGUCGCACCUACCGAUUGAAUGGUCCGGUGAAAUUUUCGGAUCGCAGCCGCUGCCUUCAUUGUGUGGCGGCAGUGAGAAGUCAAUUAAACCUUACCAUUUAGAGGAAGGUGAAGUCGUANCA
rnacentral:rRNA from 1 species